AAACCAUUUGAACCUCAGGAGAGGCAUAUAUUGCUAUUAAGUAAAUGCUAUCCUGAUGUGAUCCCAACACCUGCCAUUAAAGAUGGCCUCGAAUUCUUUGCUGCUUCUCCUAAUGAAAGGUGGAAGAUAAUUCCCCUCACCUGGAGUCUGGGUUGGUCUUAGCGACUUAUCUGACCAAUAAAAUGUAGGAGAAUUAGUGUUCCGGAACUUAUGGGGCUAGGUCACAAAAAGCCUUGAGCCUUAAAGUUUCCACCCACACCUUUUGGAGACACUCCCUCUGGAAACCCAGCUGCCAUGCUGUAACUCAAGCACAAUGGAGAGACAAUAUGUCAGUGCUCAAACCAACAGCCACAGCAAAGUCCCCUGCCAAGAGCCAGCAUCAACAGUCGACCACCCCAGCCCAGACACAGGAGUAAAGAAGCCAUCCUAGAAGUGGAUCCUCCAGCCCCAGCCACUUCAACUGACAUCCUAUGGAUCAGAGACAAACCACACAGUGAACUGAACAAAAUAACCUAAACGAUGGAAGCCAUUGGUGAAACGAAUCCGGAUGGAGCUUAUCAAAUGUGAAUGGCCCAGAGUGUGGAAAACCAGUGCCCUCAGAAAUGAAAGAAAAGGUUCAAUGGCCCUGGUAUGAUGAAUCGCUUCUGGCAAAAUUUAAUUCUAAAGAAAUGGCAAAGAUAAUAACAUACUUUCACAGAAAAAGUUUGUCCUGAAGAAGGGCCUCUCCCCUUUUGACUCUCAAAACAAUUUUAGAACCAAGCAUUAGCUUUAAUCCAGCGCUCUGAUCCAGACUGGCACAAAAAGGAAUAAAAGGGCUCAACUACGAGGAGGCCUGAAAAAGGACAACUGCCCACAGCCCCAUCAAAGGGCUGAUUGAGAAUAAAAAGAAAUUGAAAGGGAAAAGAUAAAGACUCAAGGAACAAAAACUGCCGUGUCAAUCUCAUUCAAAAUCUUUAUUUUUGUCUAAUCACAUUUCUUAGAAAAUAUUUUUUAUCUUCUUUGGUAUUUUUUUAACUUCUCAUUUGAUAAGCUAUUUUUAAAAACACAAUGAAAAUGUUGGCUACAUGUGAGACUCAAGGGAAGAAAGGGUCAGAAAAUAAAGAAGCUGUAGCAGGCCCAGGUCAGGUACUCUGAGACACGUGACAUGGACCAGAACCAAGAACUGGUAUUGGGGACAGAAGAGCCUAGCAAUUAACAGCAUGGACUGGAGGGCCAGACUAUCGGUGUUCAAAUCUCAGCUCUGCUACUACCAAGUUAUGUGACCUUGGGCAAUUCAUCUAACACUUUCAUUUGUAAAAUGCAAGUAACAAUAAUAGUGCUGACCUCAAAGG